rnacentral:rRNA from 1 species
UACGUAGGGGGCAAGCGUUGUCCGGAAUUACUGGGCGUAAAGAGCUCGUAGGUGGUUUGUCGCGUUGUUCGUGAAAACCUGAGGCUUAACCUUGGGCGUGCGGGCGAUACGGGCAGACUGGAGUACUGCAGGGGAGACUGGAAUUCCUGGUGUAGCGGUGGAAUGCGCAGAUAUCAGGAGGAACACCGGUGGCGAAGGCGGGGAUCUCUGGGGCAGUAACUGACGCUGAGGAGCGAAAGCGUGGGGAGCGAACAGG